UGCACCCCAAGUGGAUGCACUCUUUUCACUGGUGUCCACUCUGUAUGUGUGUGUUGUCCUGCAUGCAUUGUCUCUGUUGUGUAUAUCUAAUCCCCAGGUCCCGGGGGCUCCAGGGGAACAGCUGAAGCAGGGGCAGCAGUGGCUUGUCAGCCUGAGGCUCCCGCUGCUCCUCUCCCUUUCACUGCUCCCCAUAUGGUCCUGCAGCGCAGGGUCCCCGAGGGCCUGUUAGCGCCGCACCACCCAGGCCUGCGCCCUGCCACCAGGCCCCUCUCGCCUCCUGUCUCACCCCAGCCAUCACCCUUUCGUUUCCUCUACUCUGUCUCCCUUUGAGGUUCCCCUCCUUCCUCUUUGUUUGAUUGUCUGGAUCAUGUCUCAGUGUGAACCGACAUCUUUCCUGCUUGCUUCAUUGUCUCACUUUUGCUAUCCUUGCCAUUUGGAUUUUUUUUCUUCUCUCUGCACUUUAAUAGACGUGUCUCUUCUUCUUUGCUUCAUCUGUCUCUUAUUUCUUCUGGCCAUGCCCUCUUCUGAGGUUAAUGUGAGGAUUUAUGGCUCCAAUUAGGUGCAUGAAUUAUCUACUUUUUCUUUCCUACAGGAAACUUUUUAGAGAAAUUGUGAAAACAAGCCAACUCUUGGUCCAUAAAGUUAAUGCAGCAUGCUCCAGCCAGUGGCCCUACAACAAUUUGACACCUCCCCCCCCCACACACGCACACUUGACAUACAUCCUACAAGAUGAUGCUCAUUUUCUCUCCUAAAAUUGAUUUAGACUUUGCAGACCUCUCUGCAAGACAGCGCUGCAGUCUACCUUUGCCAUGGAGCCCGGGGUAUUUCUGAAUCAGCUGUCACUACCUCCAGGGGAUUACCAGGGAUUCAUGGAUCAGCACGGGGAGUGCUGAUCCACACAAGUUAUUACGCAGAUCAUAAAACACCAUCUCUGGGAUUUGACUGUUUGGUUGUACAUGUUCAGGCUGCUACUUAUGGGAAAUGUUUUUGCGAUUCUUUGCACAAGAGGCAGCGAACGAUCUUCUUGUUGUUGUCUUUUCCAUUUUUCAAAGGCACUGAUCUGAUUUGACUGCGUCUUACUCCGACACAUGACUAAUCCUCCUGAAGGCAGACGGGAGGUGGGUGUAGAUGUGGAGUCCCUCUACAUGUGAACAGUUAGAGCUGUUUAUCACCUUAUGGUCCAGACACCGGCCUGAUUUAGCCAUCCAGUUUUGUCAGACAAACUCUGUUUUUGUUUGCUGGUGUCUGAAUUCUCCAAUUUUCUCAUUAAUUAUUAAUCUUUAAAGAAAAAAACCCCACAGGCCUCACUGAGCUGAAAUUCAGUGUACCCACAAAUUGAGUCCUAGCGCCCUCUGUUGAUGGUACUCAGACAGUGUUUGACCAUAUUACCUCUGAUCCGGUCUCCUUUAAAACAUGGCUUUUCAAAUGUUUUAUUAGGGAAGGGAUUCAAACCAAACCUAACUGCAACGCACAGACUUCACAUGUAAGUUAUGUCAGAGCUCAUACAAGGAUCAUCUACAUCCGUUCUGUUUCCGCUCUGCCUGCCCAAGUGUUGAAGCAUCUCUGGGCAAGACACUUAACCCCACACUGCUCCCACUGGCCUUGCUGGCGCUGGUGCAUGGCAGCUCUGCUUCUAUCAGUGUUUGUGUGUGUGAAUAGGACUGGGACUCAUAAAGAUUCUGAAAAGGCGCCUAAAAGUAGUUCUAAGCCAUUUACUGAUUUUAGGUCUGCAGCUGUUGAUUAAAGCCUUUAUCAGCUACAGAGGUCAUCUCUUUGAUAUGUUAACACUCAAUCACUAAUGAUGGUUUAAUCACAAGGCUCAUCAGUAUGAUACAAAUAUUAACGGUUUUUCAGUUUCUGUUAGUGAUAGCAUGUUCAGGCUUUUGUUAGUGUUAAAAACACAAAGUUUUAUAAUAAAUUAUGACAUAAAACAUCGUAAAAAUGAUUUUCUAAUAGCUUAAAUUCAGUUUUUGGUAUAAGAAAAAUCCUAACACUAAAAAGCAACGAAUAAACAAACAGAACCUAAAAUAAAAAUAAGGAGAAAUUAAAUUGUGUCGUGUUGUCAGUCUGAUGGCAGGCAGACAUCAGAACAGAGGUAAAUUAGGAUAAACAUACAGAUCCUGAUCCUCAUGAAGAAAUGCACCAUCUUAACUCAAUUCAAUUUAUAAAUAAGGCACCAUGUCUCAGCUAAGAUCAUCUCCAUCACACAGAAAACAAAGAACACCAGACAGAGAUUCAUUGACUAUAAUUGCUUUAUUCCAAUUGAUUUUUACAGAAAAAACUAACAAUAAGUAGUCUAAUACUACAAGUAUACUGAGUCUAUACUAAAUGUGAGGCUGUGUACUAGAAGUUUACUUUUUAUAUUGUGUCAGUUUUGUAAACUUAAAUAUUCCAAUUUAGUAUGAAGAAGUAUUCAGUUAGUAUAUUUCCUACAACACAUAUUCUUAGUCUAUGGUAUACAUGCUAUACUCAAAUUAUAAAUUAAAUGUACUACUUUUUGGUAGGGGGAUCUUCAGUUAGUUUGCUGGGAUUUCAAAUGCCUGAUGAUCUAAAUCUUAGAUUUCUUUACGUCAAUUUUGUUGUGUUUCCUUUGCUGCAUUCAUGCUGUCAUCAUCAACAAUCUCUUAUGUUUUUAAGGUUUCACCGUCUUUACAGGUGUAUGGAAAGUUGCUUAGUGUGUGAUCUUUUUAAGACACAACCCCUUUUAUAUGUUCACAAACCCCAGUUUUGUUUUUCUAAAAGAUUUCCAUCAUAUUAACUGAACACAGACACGGAUGUGCUCAGCAGUCAGCUCUUUUUAAACAACUGAAACUGCUAUUGAUAUUGAUACACUGCUCCUGUUCUGCUGGGAAAGUUUACUGGGUUUUUGUUUUAUAAUCAUGCUUUCAGGGUUCACAAAGCUGGAAUAGUUGCAGAUAGAUUAUAGAUCUACGAUUGUUAUUUCCUAAGAAGUAAUCAUUCAGAAUUCAAAUCAGUUCAGUUUAAAAAAAGGAGACGUGAAAAAGAAGAUGUAGAAAAUGUAACUAACUGCUUCUAUAAAGCAACACGAUUAGAUUGCAAAAAAACAGAAAAAAAAUCAUGAUAUGACCUUUUUGGUGAGAUAGGUGAAUUAAAGAAAAGUAUUAAUAAAAAAAUGAAGUAUUUUUCCAAUCUAUUUCAGUUUUAAAAACUACAGGGCGGUAAAGAGUUGUAACUAUUAGUUCAAUUUCCUUUCAAUGUGGAUAAUCUCAGCUUUGUGUUGAGUCAGCAUUUUUUGCAUAUUAAAAUAUUUCCUAUUUGGUGAGUCUAAAAGUGAGCGCAUAUAUGAGCAUAGAUAUACCUGGGUGUGUGCCUUCUGCUUCAUGACAGCUGGGUCUGGUCUAGCAAAGGUCUCUGAGUAGAAGCUAUAGAAAGUAAAUCAGCAAGUUGAAAAAAAAAGUAAAAAAACAAAAAAAAAAACAGGCCCUGAGUUGCGGAAGCAGAUCGACUGGGAAAUGCUCUACUCUGUUUCUCACUUUGAAACUCAAUCUCUCUGGGCGCCCGUGUUGUGUCUCUGAAUGCAAUUUCCUCUGCUGCAUUCAUGCUGUCAUCAGCCACCUCUCUUAAGUUUUUACGUCUCACCGCGACGCUGGCUUCAUGCACUACAGCCCUCCUUCCACGCUGUCCCCUCCUCCUUCAUGUGGAGGGCUCCAGAAGAGCCUGCAGCUGCCUGAGGUCCACCCCCCCUGUGCUGGGGGCUCAGUGGCGGCGGGGGGGCGGGGCUCUGGAUCCAGCUUAAAGAAAAGCAGGCAGAUCAAGGACAAGAAAUACAGGCAGAGGAAAAAAGCAAGAUGCAGAAUGAAGGGGGGCCGACGUUUUCAUGGAAAAACACUUCGUCCUGUUACGAACCGAAGCAGGACAAGGUUAGGAGGCCAAGACGUUGGGGAAACGGUCAUCUAAAAGCAUACGUUUACUUCUGUUUGUGUCCUGAUGGUGGUGUGAGACGGUGGUGAGCAGACAGCAGCGCCGUGAGUUUACCAGCUUUCCCUCAUGAGGAAUGAAGUCGACCGCAGUGAUCGCUGCUGGACAGAACCGCCUAACAGAGCUGCUGAAGGGAAAUGGACUCAUGGAAGGACUGGGCGGCAGCAGCUGGCCUGAGCACAAACACCCUGUUUGGUUAAGUUAUGGCCAAUACUUCUUCUGCUGCGCUACAACGGGUAAUUGAACAAUUGUCACAGCACUCUGAGACUCCAACAUAGACUUUUGAGCUACGUUUACUGUUCAUUCUAAUCCCAGCCUGAGUGUGGUUUUGGUUAAUUACCUGAUUAAUUUAAUGAAAUCAGCACUGACCAACCUGGAAUUUUAUUUAACCUCAUGACGCCCAUUGUUGCAAAUAUGCAUCAAAGUACUUUGGCCCCAAAACCACCUUAAUGUAGCAUCUCUUGACAGCAAAAACAUUAUUGAACAUUUGUUUCAUAGCUGGAAUAAUGAAAAUCCAAUGAUGAAUAACUGUUUGGUUCAAAAAACAACAUUGCUUUUUUGAGCUUACAUGAAGACCUGCCUCCCUUGAAGGCUAUUGUACUCCUCACUGCAAAAACUGAAUGUUAAGAAAGUAAAGUGAAAAGAGUUUUUCAAUUGCCUAUUAUGUAGAAAACAUGUCCUAGUGACUAGAUUUUUUUUUAUUACAAUAAUUUUUUUUUAUAAUGUUUAUCUAAGGUAAAUCUGCCAAUGGGGUGAAAAGAUUUGACUUAUUUGUAGGCGGCCCUUUUUUGCAGUGCAGACAUCUCAAACAGGACGAUGCUGGAGAUCACUAGAUUCACAAUGAAAUAAAGAAUGCUCAUUAUUGGGACGUGUUUAUUAUUACUUUUUUUUUAUACAGGCAUUAAGGAAUGUCCUUCACAUCUGAACACAAAUGUAAAACAGAUGUGAUAAGAUUUAUUUUGCUGGAGCAACAGAAAAACUGCGCAAAAAUGUAAAAACAUGCAGAUUUUUUUUUUUUUCAGUACAAUGUCAAAUCCAGAGCUACAAAAAAUUAAAAGUGUGUGCUUUCUGAUUUUAUUCCAGUCUCAUUACAAUCUUAUGUACCCUGUCAGCUACUGAGCCAUAUGCUUGCUAUGUUUCAUAAGGUAUCUGGAGUCAGGUUUCAUUCUCCCGAAGGGCCACAUGUUAAUAUAAUUUAUAUGAUGCCAUUCAAUAGUAUUCAAUGCAUCCAUAACUCUGCGUGUUGCAGUCACCUAGUCCUAUUGGCCUGCUUGUCUUUGUGGCUGCACCUUGUCUAGCUUCACUCUUUUUCUCCAUGUUCCAUUUGCAAGGUGUGAUAUUGCUUUAAUUGUGCAGAAACAUGUGGAGAGAUCAGACAUAUCUCAGGGGAUUAGAAGCAAAGCCGGGAGUUUGUGCGACUGGCAGCUUGUGUUUGGAGCAAAGGGUCUGCUGGGAAUGAAUGUAGUUAGUGUGACCCCUGACCUUGCGAGCUGUUGAUGUGGAAGCCGGCCAGGAGGGGUCCAACAGAACGCUUUUGUUAAUCUCAUUCAGGGCUCCCUGUGAACUGCGGGCAAGAGGAAAGCUGGCAGAUCAGACCUGUGGAAUGCAGAGCUCUUUAUUCCCAUGCUUUGGAAACAGAGGUGGGCCUUGGAACUAUAGCAAGGCUUCUUUAGCUGAGCCUCCACCACUCAGCUCAAUCGACACUGACAGUUUCCUGGCUUGACCCUGCCAACUGGCAAAGCAGCGGUGCAGGAGGGACAAAUGAACCCCACCAAGGCUUUAAAGGCCACAGUUCCUAACAAGCCAUCGCAGUGGUGUGCCACUGUUUAAAAAGUUGCACUCUAUACAUUCGCUGCUGAAACAGCCUUUCUGCAUUAAUAUGAUGUCAAAAAGUUAACAGACCUGCAAGAUCACUGAAGCAUCUGUAGCGACAUGCUGUCAUUGUGAUCACUUUUAAAUAUUUCAGAAUUUAUGCAAUUUGUAUUAAAUACUUCCACAAAGUUCUCAUAUCUUUGAAAUUCUUCUGUAUGAUUAGCAGAAACUGCCUUUUUUUGUCCCUCCUACAAAUUAAGGAAUGCUGUAAAUACUAUCAUGAGCUACCAUGAUAAAGUCAUGGACUCUUUUUUUUAUUUUUUUAUUGCAUUUUGAUUUAUUAAAGUCAAUCUAAAUCUUUGUGGAUGUUUAGACUCUGAACGGCAUUUGAAGUUCGACCUAAAUCAAAACUGUUGAAACUCUACAGACCAUUUAGAUGAGAAAUCCUAUGCAACUCAUAGUAAAAAAUGCAAAAAAUUAAAGAGUCAACCACAAUAUACAUGUUUUACCUAUUAUUACAUAACCUGUAAAAACCUUUCAUGUUUUGAUUAUAUUUUGUUCAGUUUGUCUUUCUUUUUAAUGGUGAAAUAACUGUUUCUCUAUUUAUUGACCUGUAUUACUAAUUAUUUUUGCAUUUGCACAACGCCACAGUGGCCCUGAAGUGCAAAACACAUUAACAAAUCCCUCAAUGCAAAAUCCUAUUAAAGAUCACAAUGAUUAUUACAAAGAAAAACAUAAU